rnacentral:rRNA from 1 species
UCGCCAUGGCGGUAGCUACAAUGCAAGUCGAACGGCAGCACAGGAGAGCUUGCUCUCUGGGUGGCGAGUGGCGGACGGGUGAGGAAUACAUCGGAAUCUACUUUUUCGUGGGGGAUAACGUAGGGAAACUUACGCUAAUACCGCAUACGACCUACGGGUGAAAGCAGGGGAUCUUCGGACCUUGCGCGAUUGAAUGAGCCGAUGUCGGAUUAGCUAGUUGGCGGGGUAAAGGCCCACCAAGGCGACGAUCCGUAGCUGGUCUGAGAGGAUGAUCAGCCACACUGGAACUGAGACACGGUCCAGACUCCUACGGGAGGCAGCAGUGGGGAAUAUUGGACAAUGGGCGCAAGCCUGAUCCAGCCAUACCGCGUGGGUGAAGAAGGCCUUCGGGUUGUAAAGCCCUUUUGUUGGGAAAGAAAUCCAGCUGGUUAAUACCCGGUUGGGAUGACGGUACCCAAAGAAUAAGCACCGGCUAACUUCGUGCCAGCAGCCGCGGUAAUACGAAGGGUGCAAGCGUUACUCGGAAUUACUGGGCGUAAAGCGUGCGUAGGUGGUCGUUUAAGUCCGUUGUGAAAGCCCUGGGCUCAACCUGGGAACUGCAGUGGAUACUGGGCGACUAGAGUGUGGUAGAGGGUAGCGGAAUUCCUGGUGUAGCAGUGAAAUGCGUAGA